AAUUAAGAAAAAAAUAAUUUUAAUAAAUAAAUUAUAUUAAAAUGAUUAAAUUAGUAAUUUAAUUUGUUUAAAAUUAUUUUAUAAAAAAAAAUAUUUUUAAGUAAUUAGGCAAAAUAAUUAUAUUCACCUGUUUAACAAAAACAUGUCUUUUUGAUUUUAAUAUAAAGUCAGUUCUGCUCAAUGAGAAAUUAAAUAGCUGCAGUAUUUUAACUGUACAAAGGUAGCAUAAUCAUUUGUCUUUUAAUUGAAGGCUGGAAUGAAUGAAUUAAUGAAAUAUAAACUGUCUCAAUUAUAUAAAAUAAAUUUAAAUUUUAAGUUAAAAUGCUUAAUUUAAUUUAAGGGACGAUAAGACCCUAUAGAAUUUUAUAUACUAUAAAUUUUAUAAAUUUUAAUAAUAUAUUUGGUUGGGAGGAUUUUUAGAUUUAAUUAACUUUAAAAUUUUAAAAAUAUUGAUUUAUAGAAAAAUUUAAUUGAAAUAUAUUAUUAUAAUAUAAUAAAAGAAUAAAUUACCUUAGGGAUAACAGCGUAAUAUUUUUGGAAAGAUCAAAUUGAAAAAAUUGUUUGCGACCUCGAUGUUGAAUUAAAAUAAAUUAUAAAUGUAGGCGUUUAUAAAUUUAGUCUGUUCGACUAUAAAAAUUUUACAUGAUUUGAGUUCAGAUCGACGUGAGUCAGAUUGGUUUCUAUCUUUAAAAAAAUUUAAAAUUUUUGUACGAAAGGACU
rnacentral:rRNA from 1 species